rnacentral:rRNA from 1 species
CCUACGGGGGGCAGCAGUGGGGAAUAUUGCGCAAUGGGCGAAAGCCUGACGCAGCGCCGCCGCGUGAGGGAUGAAGGUCUUCGGAUCGUAAACCUCUGUCAGCAGGGAAGCACGGUCACUGUGCUAAUCAGCCGUGAAUUGACGUUACCUGCAAAGGAAGCACCGGCUAACUCCGUGCCAGCAGCCGCGGUAAUACGGAGGGUGCGAGCGUUAAUCGGAAUUACUGGGCGUAAAGCGCUCGUAGGCGGUAUGUCAAGUCAAGGGUGAAAUCCCCGCGCUCAACGUGGGAACUGCCUUUGAAACUGGCAAACUGGAGUGUGUGAGAGGAGAGUGGAAUUCCAGGUAGAGGAGUGAAAUCCGUAGAUAUCUGGAGGAACAUCAGUGGCGAAGGCGACUAUCUGGCACAUAACUGACGCUGAGGUGCGAAAGCGUGGGUAGCAAACAGGAUUAGAUACCCGAGUAGUC